rnacentral:rRNA from 1 species
UUAAGAAUCUUGCGCAAUGGGGGGAACCCUGACGCAGCGACGCCGCGUGGAUGAUGAAGGCCUUCGGGUUGUAAAGUCCGGUAAGCAGGGAAGAAUAAGUGUGGGGUAAUAUUCCACAUGAUGACGGUACCUGCCUAAAGCCCCGGCUAACUACGUGCCAGCAGCCGCGGUAAUACGUAUGGGGCAAGCGUUGUUCGGAAUUAUUGGGCGUAAAGGGCGUCUAGGCGGGGGAUUAAGUUAGAUGUGAAAGCUAUGGGCUCAACCCAUAAAUUGCAUCUAAGACUGGUUCUCUUGAGUUCGGGAGAGGAGAGCGGAAUUCCAGGUGUAGCGGUGAAAUGCGUAGAUAUCUGGAAGAACACCAGUGGCGAAGGCGGCUCUCUGGCCUAGGACUGACGCUGAAGCACGAAAGCGUGGGGAGCGAACA